UAUUUCAGUGGUGUUUCCGUCAAAGGAAAAGGAACUUCAUAUGACUUUUUUUUUUUUUAGCGGGAUUUGGCUUUCUUUCUUUUCUUUGAUUUUUAGGUGGGAUCUACUGGUUAGCUUCCCGGAUUGGUAAUGUUGCCUGUUCCAAGGGCUAUUCACUGGCAGUAUCCCAGGUCUUUGGCCGUUUCCAGAACCUUUUCGUUGCCUGGAACCCCUGUGCCGCACCUGGCGAUACAAAAAUAAUUGUUGGGGAUGCCCGCUUCUUUUUCGUCCAAGUCGGAUGGCGUUGUCCAAUUGUGGAUUUAUGCGCGGCGUUAUUCCUAAAUAGAACACAAAAACUUAACACAACACAUCCGACAUAACACCACUUACAAAUCAACACUUACAAAUUGUUUAGAUACGCCACACAAAUAAAACAAUAAAACACACAAAUUGUAACUGCCAAUUCAGUAUUUCCUUUUUUUUUAUUCACAAAAAAAAACAUUUAAAAAUUGACUGAACUGUUUCUGUUCCACACCACUUUGAAAUAAUGGCGCUUUUCGCCCUCUCUGUGCUUUAUAUACGGCCACCAAGGACGCUCAACCAAACUUUCCCUCUUUUCCAAGAUUUUCCCACAAUUUCCCUGACAUUUAUUAUUUACCUUUAUCAGGUGUUCUACCUACCCACUAUUAUCCCCAGUGUUGUAUUUUUGCCACACGUCUCUCAUGUUGUACAAUAAACAACAUGAAACUUGGCAUCACUUUUUAAAAUUUAGCCGGCCGCCCUGCGUAUCCGGUUCUCUUUUUUGGCUGGCGUUCAGCACGUUCGGUGCAUUAAAUUGCACAUUAUAAAAAUUUUACAAUGAGGAUGAACGCAACAAAACUUCACCACUUUAGAAAAAAAUUAAAAAGAAAAGUGGUGAUGUGCGUGAAUCCUUACAUCCAGUCGUAAACGGAAUAUAAAAUUGUGGAUUUAAGUAAGUUUGUCCUUUUUUUCGCCACCAUUUCGCGUGGAAUGACUACGCGACCAAACCAAAUUUCUUGUGUUUCAUUUUAUUCCUUCGGACAAAGACAAAUCAAAAAAAUGCCAUGUUCAUUCUUGGGAGUCUCAUGUGUAAGUAUGUGUGUGUGCAGGCACGCUGCAUCCAUUGAAAAAAAUUCCAUGCACACACACAUGCACGAAGUAGUUGCAGUCGUGUAAACGCACAUGAAGGGUGCGCAACGCCGUUCAUUCAACUACAUCGCCCAUUCAUGCCGUUUGUCGAUUUAUAAAUCCCUACGCGACUUUGCCGUGUAUUGUUGCAGCUCAUUCAUCGGAAUCGGACAAACCAAAAACAGAAAUUUGGCGAAGUUGCACGCACUCAUCAAACAAUUUAUAACCAGGUCUCUAUAUUGUGCAGGUAAACGACCAUGGUUGUGUAUAAAAAUAAAGUGCAAGUGAUAUUUAAAAUUGACAGUGCAUCUGCCUGAAACUUAUUUGUGUGUUAUGAAAAAAAAUUAUAAAAUUAAAUUUAAACAAAGAACUGAUGUGCGGAUAGACAGAUUGUCAACCAACAAAAAUAGGAUAUCCAAACGGCUUUAAAUCGCUGCAUAAGGAGUAAACUGCUGAUUGGCGUAUUUCAAGAACAUAAUUCAGUGGUGUUUCCGUCAAAGGAAAAGGAACUUCAUAUGACUUUUUUUUUUUUUUGGCGGGAUUUGGCUUUCUUUCUUUUCUUUGAUUUUUAGGUGGGAUCUACUGGUUAGCUUCCCGGAUUGGUAAUGUUGCCUGUUCCAAGGGCUAUUCACUGGCAGUAUCCCAGGUCUUUUGGCCGUUUCCAGAACCUUUUCGUUGCCUGGAACCCCUGUGCCGCACCUGGCGAUACAAAAAUAAUUGUUGGGGAUGCCCGCUUCUUUUUCGUCCAAGUCGGAUGGCGUUGUCCAAUUGUGGAUUUAUGCGCGGCGUUAUUCCUAAAUAGAACACAAAAACUUAACACAACACAUCCGACAUAACACCACUUACAAAUCAACACUUACAAAUUGUUUAGAUACGCCACACAAAUAAAACAAUAAAACACACAAAUUGUAACUGCCAA